rnacentral:tRNA from 1 species
GCCUAAAUAGCUCAGUUGGGAGAGCGUUAGACUGUAAAUCAAAAAGUUCCUGGUUCUAGCCCGGGUUUCGAGU